rnacentral:lncRNA from 1 species
GUGUGUAUGAGUGUGAGUGUCUGUGCACACGUGUGUGUGGUAUAGACAGGGAACAAGAGAGAAAUGUGAUGCAGAGAAUCAGAACCUUCCUCAGAGAGUGCUGGGGGCUAAAUGACCUGAAAAGCACUUGGAAUAGUACCUGGCACACCGUAGGGGCCGUGCGGAUGAUUCUUACUAUGAUGGAGGCAGAGAGACACAGAGAGAGUCUCCAUUGUGUAAAGGAGGAUAAUCUUCUGGAUUCCCUGAAGUACCUCAGCGCCCUGUACAUAGAGAAUCUGCCUGGUACCAGCGAUCGAGGUCCCCCGGACAGGGACAGCGGGGUCUGUUCUGCAGCG